CUCUAUGAGCGGGGUCAUGGCAGGGACGGUUUCGACCGUGCCGGUUCCUACGUUCCGGUGUUCCAAGCCUGCCAUGUUUCCCCGCUCACCCGA
rnacentral:antisense_RNA from 1 species